GAUGAACGCUAGCUACAGGCUUAACACAUGCAAGUCGAGGGCAGCGGGAUUGAAGCUUGCUUCAAUUGCCGGCGACCGGCGCACGGGUGAGUAACGCGUAUCCAACCUUCCGUACACUCAGGGAUAGCCUUUCGAAAGAAAGAUUAAUACCUGAUGGUAUGAUGAGAUUGCAUGAUAGCAUCAUUAAAGAUUUAUCGGUGUACGAUGGGGAUGCGUUCCAUUAGGUAGUAGGCGGGGUAACGGCCCACCUAGCCUACGAUGGAUAGGGGUUCUGAGAGGAAGGCCCCCCGACAUUGGAACUGAGACACGGUCCAAACUCCUACGGGAGGCAGCAGUGGGGAAUAUUGCACAAUGGGGGAAACCCUGAUGCAGCGACGCCGCGUGAGUGAUGAAGUAUUUCGGUAUGUAAAACUCUAUCAGCAGGGAAGAUAAAUGACGGUACCUGACUAAGAAGCACCGG
rnacentral:rRNA from 1 species